rnacentral:rRNA from 1 species
GAUGAACGCUGGCGGCGUGCCUAAUACAUGCAAGUCGAGCGAACAGAUGAGGAGCUUGCUCCUCUGACGUUAGCGGCGGACGGGUGAGUAACACGUGGAUAACCUACCUAUAAGACUGGGAUAACUUCGGGAAACCGGAGCUAAUACCGGAUAAUAUAUUGAACCGCAUGGUUCAAUAGUGAAAGACGGUUUUGCUGUCACUUAUAGAUGGAUCCGCGCCGCAUUAGCUAGUUGGUAAGGUAACGGCUUACCAAGGCAACGAUGCGUAGCCGACCUGAGAGGGUGAUCGGCCACACUUGAACUGAGACACGGUCCAGACUCCUACGGGAGGCAGCAGUAGGGAAUCUUCCGCAAUGGGCGAAAGCCUGACGGAGCAACGCCGCGUGAGUUAUGAAGGUCUUCGGAUCGUAAAACUCUGUUAUUAGGGAAGAACAAAUGUGUAAGUAACUAUGCACGUCUUGACGGUACCUAAUCAGAAAGCCACGGCUAACUACGUG